UUGCUAAAGGUGACCUCAACUCUGUCAAGGCACUGUCCAAUUGCUUCACACAGUUCUCAGCUGCCUCAGGACUUCAAGCAAACCUUAACAAAAGCUCAGUUUAUUUUGGUGGAGUACCAGUGCCUAUACAGCAACACAACCUCAAGACUCCAAGCAAACUUGAACAAAAGCUCAGUUUAUUUUGGUGGAGUACCAGUGUCUAUACAGCAACAGAUUCUUGAUCACCU
rnacentral:lncRNA from 1 species